rnacentral:rRNA from 1 species
CAGUAGCCGCGGUAAUACGUAGGUGGCAAGCGUUGUCCGGAAUUAUUGGGCGUAAAGGGCUCGCAGGCGGUUUCUUAAGUCUGAUGUGAAAGCCCCCGGCUCAACCGGGGAGGGUCAUUGGAAACUGGGAAACUUGAGUGCAGAAGAGGAGAGUGGAAUUCCACGUGUAGCGGUGAAAUGCGUAGAGAUCGGAAGGAACGCCCGUGGCGAAAGCGCGGCCCUGGACUCUUUCUGACGCUGAGACGCGAAAGCUAGGGGAGCGAACGGGAUUAGAUACCCCGGUAGUCCCUGUCUCUUAUAA